GCUGGGUGUGGCGGCUUACAUCUGUAAUCCCAGCACUUUGGGAGGCUGAGGUGGGAGGAUCACUUGAGCUCAGGAGUUCAAUAUCAGCCUGGGCAACAAAGUGAGACCCCAUCUCUA
rfam:Gorilla gorilla gorilla genomic chromosome, chr3, whole genome shotgun sequence